rnacentral:rRNA from 1 species
ACACCGGCGGACGGCUCAGUAACACGUCGUAACCUACCCUCGGGAGGGGGAUAACCCCGGGAAACUGGGGCUAAUCCCCCAUAGGCCUGGGGUACUGGAAGGUCCCCAGGCCGAAAGGGGCUCUGCCCGCCCGAGGAUGGGCCGGCGGCCGAUUAGGUAGUUGGUGGGGUAACGGCCCACCAAGCCGAAGAUCGGUACGGGCCAUGAGAGUGGGAGCCCGGAGAUGGACACUGAGACACGGGUCCAGGCCCUACGGGGCGCAGCAGGCGCGAAACCUCCGCAAUGCG